rnacentral:rRNA from 1 species
GACGAACGCUGGCGGCGUGCUUAACACAUGCAAGUCGAACGGUAAGGCCCUUCGGGGUACACGAGUGGCGAACGGGUGAGUAACACGGGGGUGAUCUGCCCUGCACUUCGGGAUAAGCCUGGGAAACUGGGUCUCCUACCGGAUAGGACCCUGGGAUGCAUGUCCUGGGGUGGAAAGCUUUUGCGGUGUGGGAUGGGCCCGCGGGCUAUCAGCUUGUUGGUGGGGUGAUGGCCUACCAAGGCGACGACGGGUAGCCGGCCUGAGAGGGUGAGCGGCAACACUGGGACUGAGAUACGGCCCAGACUCCUACGGGAGGCAGCAGUGGGGAAUAUUGCACAAUGGGCGCAAGCCUGAUGCAGCGACGCCGCGUGAGGGAUGACGGCCUUCGGGUUGUAAACCUCUUUCAGCACCGACGAAGCGCAAGUGACGGUAGGUGCAGAAGAAGGACCGGCCAACUACGUGCCAGCCGCCGCGGUAA